rnacentral:rRNA from 1 species
GAUGAACGCUGGCGGCGUGCCUAAUACAUGCAAGUAGAACGCUGAAGGAAGGAGCUUGCUCUUUCCGGAUGAGUUGCGAACGGGUGAGUAACGCGUAGGUAACCUGCUUGGUAGUGGGGGAUAACUAUUGGAAACGAUAGCUAAUACCGCAUAACAGUAGAUGUUGCAUGAUAUCUACUUAAAAGGUGCAAUUGCACCACUACCAGAUGGACCUGCGUUGUAUUAGCUAGUUGGUGAGGUAACGGCUCACCAAGGCGACGAUACAUAGCCGACCUGAGAGGGUGGUCGGCCAGACUGGGAGUGUGACACGGCCCAUACGGCUACGGGAGGCAGCAGUAGGGAAUCUGCGGCAAUGGGCGGAAGACUGUGCGAGCAACGCCGCGUGAGGGUGGAGGAUCUUCGGGUCGUGAAGCUCUGUUGUAAGGGAGGAACGAGUGUGAGCGUGGGAAGAUGAGACUGUGACGGUAACUUAUAAGAAAGGAACGGCUAACUACGUG